ensembl:lncRNA
AGGUUCUUACGCUGCAGGAACCUGCUGAGAUUCAGAAGUUUAAGGAGACAGGCAGAAGAUAGUAAAUAUUGUAAAAAGAUGUUUAUAAAGAAAACAAAUUGAUGCCUGAGCACGUUGUUUCCAUUUAGAAGAUUUCCAGUGUUGCCCAAGUGCAAUUCUCCAAGGAUAACUGGAGCAAUGGUUUUUGUAGGCACCAAAGCUCAGGAGCAGGCUCAAGACCCAAUUCCAGGAGUUGCAGUGACUGACUUCUUUUGUGUCCUUGGAACACUUCUGGAAAAAUGUCCGUUAAAUAAAUUGGCCAAAGGUGCUCCUCUUAGGUGGGACUGCUUGCUUUGAUGCCAUCCCAUUGUCUAUCCAGCAGCCAGCUGUAAUCUGUUUACAGCAUUGGGAGAGAUGGACUUCAGGGAAACGUCUUUCUACUGUCUAUUCAGUUGUCAUUUGGAAAAAGCUAUUUGUACAUGUUGUCAUUUCAGUACAACAUUGUGGUAUGUAUCUUAUAUUUUUUGAAAAGUUACUUUUGUUGCUUUUGUAUUGGUUUUGUGACACGAAACAAUUAGGAAGUGUGAGAUAAAGGCAGAGGCAGAGAGACAGCAGUACUUGGUUAGCUGCCUUCCUCACUAUGCUGAUACAGUAGCCUUCAUUUCUCAUUUAAAUUUGUUACAUUGGGUUUACCUUUAUUCAUACUUUUUUACUUUGUUCACCUUUAUGUGGUUCUCUUCUUAAGGUAAUUACUCCGCUUUAUUGUUCUUGUGUGCUCAGUUCCACUGCAGCUACAUUUAUGAAGGGGAGUUUAGUCAAACAAACCAUCUUAGCCUGUGCUCCAUGGGGACCUAUUAAAGUUCUUGUUAUUCUUAGUAUUCAUUUUAAUGCUUUGAAUUUUAAUUACAUUCGUAUGCAGAUAAAGAGUACACAUUCUUUAUACUUGUAAAGCAGGUUCUAUGAAUUCUAUAAAAAUCACUUUUGUUUCAUCUAGUAUUUGUUUUAUAAGAUUUUCAUAUGGUGCACAUUCUGUAGAGUUUGCUGUGUUACAAUUCCUGCUGAAGUACUUGGUGAUUUCUGUCUGUGCUACGUCUGACUUUUUGCAAUGUUGGGUAUGUAACUGUAAGUUUCUGCCACACGCACAUACCAGGCCCAUGUUUGAUUCCAUACUGCAUUUAAAGAAGGUGAAUGUCACUCCUUUGAUCCCUUUUCUUUUGCACACAUGUGCAUCUAUGGGAAGAGCUUGAGCAACAGGCAAACACUGAAGCAGUGUGCUUGACAGAAAUAAUAAUGUGACAAUUGAGAUCUGGGUAAGGUUCGUCUCGCCGAACCGCAGAACCAGUGAAGAUGGUUUAUAAUGGAGUUAGCAGAGUGACGUGGGUGUAUCAGAGUGAGAAGGCUCUUCUCCCCAAAUAGCCCUAGGGAAAAGGACCAUUAGCAGCUGGUGAUUGAGAGGCAGCUGCAUACUUUGGAAUUUUCUGAAAGGUUGUUUUUUCCUCCUGUAGAUAACAUGGCUAUGGAGUGCCCCAUUAAUUUCUAUAUGCACAGACAAUUCAAUUUCAGGAAAAACAUUUAAAUCUAACUUCAUAAGACCUGCAGCAGUGGACUAUACUAUGAGCUGCAAUAUUUUUUUCAUUGGAAAAGUACUUUUUUUAAUACCCGUGGUAGUGCUAAGAAACCAUACAAAAAUUUCUUAAUAUCAAAAGUGAUUCUGUUGUUAAAUAACUGAUUCCAUGUGUAAAAUAAGUCACAAAACAUUUAGUUCUUGAGUUCUGUUGUUUGAAAUGCCCAUAUCUUUGUGAAUUAGGAAGAAGCUUUAGAAGACCUUAAAGAUAAAAUCCCGUAGAAGAAAUUUAAGCAGGAGUAGUUUUUCAUUUUUGUUUUGGCUUUCCCUGCAGAGAGAACGUAUCUACUUCUGACAAAGGUUUUGAAAAGUUUAAUGAUGUUGUGCUCUAUGCCUUGAUUUUGACAGACAAAGCUGUAUGUAUUCCUCCCUCCCUCAGCACAGACAUAUUUCAAAUAGUAUGAUGACGAUGUUCAAAGG